GGCUCCAUAGUGUAGUGGUUAGCAUAUCUGUUUUACAUGCAGAAGGUCCUGGGUUCGCGUUCCAGGUAGAGCCA
rnacentral:tRNA from 1 species